rnacentral:lncRNA from 1 species
UCUCUCUCUAUUUGCUCUUGUUCUUGAGUUAUUGUUCUUGUCCUUUAUAUUAUUUCAUAACAUAUAUUACUUUAUAGCUAUCUAAUCAAGUCACACCCAUUUAACACAUAACAAUAGUGGAAUAGAAAAAUUAGGAUAUACGAAGAGAAUCUCAAAAAAUAAAAGCACUUAAAGGAAAAAGACAAAGAAGAGAAGCGAAAGAAAAGACGAAGAAAAAAAUAUAUGAGGAAAAUCAGAAAAGAGUAGCGAAAGAGAAUCGAAGAAGAAGAACCCCAAUCUAACCUAAUUCGAAGAGAAUACUCUUCAAAAUAGAGUCUAAGGAAAAUGAAAUUACUACCACUAUCUAUUUCUUUGUAUCUAUCUGCAUCUAAUCGUAGUCGCAAAUUUAACCCACAAUAGCCAUUGAAUUGGAAAUUAGGAAGGGGAGAACCCAAAAAAAGCGGAAAACGAAAAAACAGAUGAAGGUAAAAGUGGAGAAGAUAUGGGCAAAAUUAAUUGAAAGAGGAACAUACCGACAGGUAAAACAUCCAACAACACAAAAAAAGUUGAGAAGAGCAUAGAGAGAGACUGUCGCAAUUGUUGUACAUAGAAGCUGAAGAAACACUCUUUGACAAGCCAAAGAACCAAAGGAAAAACCCAAUACUAUACAUUUAGACAAGAGGGCUACGAUGGUUUCAACUGAGAGCUUAUAAAUUUAAAUAUGCCAAGAUCAAGUGUUAGUUCUUGGAUAAAAAGAUAUCAGGGAUCUAUUUAGAAAUAGC